ensembl:lncRNA
CGGUGGAGGAGGUGGAGAAGUGUCGGGUGGCGGAGCGAGCAUGACCGUGAACAGGUCCAUUGUCACUUCGUCCUCCGGUGGGGGUGGGGUGACGAUGUCAUCAGGAGGCACUGUGUCUGGAGGAGAGACUGUGGUCGUAAAGACAAGCCGAGUGGAGAGCUCCUCAUCAUCAGGUGGCACAACGGUUUCAGGAGGUGGAGCCAUGAUGUCAGGAGGUGGAGCCAUGAUUUCAGGAGGCGGAGCCAUGAUGUCAGGAGGUGGAGCCAUGGUGUCAGGAGGUGGAGCCAUGAUUUCAGGAGGUGGAGCCAUGAUUUCAGGAGGUGGGGCCCAAAUGAUGUCAGGAGGUGAGGCCCAAAUGAUGUCUGGAGGCGGAGCCAUGAUGUCUGGAGGCGGAGCCAUGGUGUCAGGAGGUGGAGCCAUGGUGUCUGGAGGAGAGACCGUGGUCGUAAAGACAAGCCGAGUGGAGAGCUCCUCAUCAUCAGGUGGCACAAUGGUUUCAGGAGGUGGAGCCAUGAUGUCAGGAGGUGGAGCCAUGAUUUCAGGAGGUGGCGCCCAAAUGAUGUCAGGAGGUGGAGGCAUGAUGUCAGGAGGUAUGAUGUCAUCGGAGACUGUCCAAAUAUCAUCAGGUGGCUCAUUGGUGUCAGGUGGUGGGGCAGGAAUGAUGUCAGGAGGUGAAGGCAUGAUGUCCAGUGGCGGUUCCAUGAUAUCUGGUGGCAUGAUGUCAUCAGGUGGCUCCAUGAUGUCAGGAGGUGGAGCCAUGAUGUCAGGAGGUGGCUCCGAAAUGAUGUCAUCAGGUGGAGCCAUGAUUUCAGGAGGUGGAGCCAUGAUGUCAGGAGGUGGGGCCCAAAUGAUGUCAGGAGGUGGAGGCCAAAUGAUGUCAUCAGGUGGAGCCAUGGCAGGCGGCAUGAUGUCAUCAGGUGGCACCAUGAUGUCAGGGGGAGAAACGAUGUCCAUGUCUGGUGGCUCAAUGUCAUCCUC